UGGGGAAUAUUGCACAAUGGGCGCAAGCCUGAUGCAGCCAUGCCGCGUGUGUGAAGAAGGCCUUCGGGUUGUAAAGCACUUUCAGCGGGGAGGAAGGCGAUAAGGUUAAUAACCUCAUCGAUUGACGUUACCCGCAGAAGAAGCACCGGCUAACUCCGUGCCAGCAGCCGCGGUAAUACGGAGGGUGCAAGCGUUAAUCGGAAUUACUGGGCGUAAAGCGCACGCAGGCGGUCUGUCAAGUCGGAUGUGAAAUCCCCGGGCUCAACCUGGGAACUGCAUUCGAAACUGGCAGGCUAGAGUCUUGUAGAGGGGGGUAGAAUUCCAGCUGUAGCGGUGAAAUGCGUAGAGAUCUGGAGGAAUACCGGUGGCGAAGGCGGCCCCCUGGACAAAGACUGACGCUCAGGUGCGAAAGCGUGGGGAGCAAACAGG
rnacentral:rRNA from 1 species